UACGUAGGGAGCAAGCGUUGUCCGGAAUCAUUGGGCGUAAAGCGCGCGUAGGCGGCUCGAUAAGUCUGCUGUGAAAGUCCAGGGCUCAACCCUGGGAUGCCGGUGGAUACUGUCGAGCUCGAGUCCGGAAGAGGCGAGUGGAAUUCCUGGUGUAGCGGUGAAAUGCGCAGAUAUCAAGAGGAACACCAAUGGCGAAGGCAGCUCGCUGGGACGGUACUGACGCUGAGACGCGAAAGCGUGGGGAGCGAACAGG
rnacentral:rRNA from 1 species